UUGGAUCUGUUUUAAUUACUCUAUGUGGCUAAGAUUAAUUGUUUUAAUUACUUUAUUUGCUGAGAAAACCUAAGUCACGCAAAAGGGAAAAGAGGAAAAGAGUCUCGUGCAAAGCUUGGGAGAAGACCAACGAGAUAGAGAGAUGGAGAUGAAGUGAUGACCCAAGAUUUCUAUUUCUAUAAGGUAAAAAUUCGUGUGCUUAUUCUGGUAUCUGAAGAUUUGAAGAUUUUUGCAAUUCGUG
rnacentral:lncRNA from 1 species